UCAGUUCAGAUUGCAGGCUGCAACCCGCCUGCAUGAAGUCGGAAUUGCUAGUAAUCGCGGAUCAGCAUGCCGCGGUGAAUACGUUCCCGGGCCUUGUACACACCGCCCGUCACACCAUGGGAGCCGGUAAUACCCGAAGUCAGUAGUCCAACCUCGUGAGGACGCUGCCGAAGGUAGGAUUGGCGACUGGGGUGAAGUCGUAACAAGGUAAC
rnacentral:rRNA from 1 species